UUUCUUCUUCUCUUUAAAUGGCUUGAUCUCUAAUUAUUAUCGUUUGAUCUCAAUAUUGCUUUUGUUAAUUCAGACGAGAAUUGCUUCUCUAAAACGAUCAUCAUCAUCAUCAUCAUCGUUCGUUUCCACUAAUCGCAUGUUCUCUAAAUUGCAAUCGCCGUUUUCUAAAUUUAAAGGAGAAAUUUGCAUGUGGUGGUGAUUGAAGUUCCUAAGUCACUUGCUGUGACUGAUCAUCGCUCUCAUCUUCCUCAGGAAUUACCAAAGCUUUUGGGUUUCUGGUGACUGAGUCUAAUUGGGUUGCUUCGAGCGGUGAUAGAUCAAGAGAUCAAAGUGAAUCGGAAGCAUUUUUUUUUAUCAGUCAUCAUCAUCGUUAUCGUUUUGGGUCUCUUCUUCUUUCUUCCGAAGUAGCUAACAAGUGAAUGAAUCUUCAUAAUGUGGAAUAGACUUGAAAGGUACAGGGGAUAUCACGUUUUGGUCUCUUUCUUUCUCAAAGUGAGAAACACUUCUACUAUAGGUUUUGGCUCUUUCUUCUGUAGAUGCAGUGGUUUAGAGUUAUGAGGUGUCUGACUUGGCUGCUUGAGCAUUGUGUUAUGGUUUCAUGGGUUUUACUCGUUUCCUACCUUACUUUAGUUUUGGAUCUCAUUGGGUUAUUAACUGUUUUUCUUAAAACAUUUUGACAGCAAUUGGCAACCCCAUGUUAUCAAACCAUAAUUUGUUUGGCAGCAACAUGUGAUUCUUUUGAUUGCAUAUGAUUACUUAUCUGGAUACCUCAGAUUUUGAAUCUGAACUGUUAUUCUUUUGUAAUAAUGUUUGUCAUUUUUUAUUUGGAUAACUCCAAUGUUGCAUCUAAAUUGUUAUUCUUUUGUUGUAGAAAGAAAGAAGCUAGUGCGUAUAGUGUUAAGGAUCUUGCUUCAAAUAAAUCUUUCUAUGUGCAAUCACCUUGCCAUAUUUUGCUCUGCAUAUUGGCCAUCUCUCUAGUGAAGCUGGAAAGUUUUUUUUGUUUGGUUGUGCUAUUGGUCUUAGCACUGCCUCAAAGAGACGUGCAUAGGUUUUUUUCAUGUUCUUGGUAAAUGUAAGUCAGGAUAUAUAUAUACGAAUCAGUUUUCGAAGGGGUUUAAAAAAGAGAGAGUAAUUAGUAUAUGGUCAGAAUCAAUAUGGUGAUUUGAUAGCAUGUAGGGUGCGCUAGUAAUUGUUUUGGUAUCAUGUUACAUUUGCUAACAAUCUUGCAGUAAUUCUUUCACUAGUUUUUAAGCGACUGUCUUUGGAUCAGUUUCUUUGUUUUAUAAUUUAUAUCUAAGCUGCUUUAAUUAGUUAAUUUAUGUGUUACAUCUCUUGGUUAUAGGUUGUCGAUGAUUCUAGAUACAUAUAGAUUUUGAUGUUCCAAGAUAUGGAUUUUCAGGUUCCUUCUGUUCUUCAGAGAGAUAAUGUUAUGUUGAAAGUUUUUUUGUGAUUAGUUGGCCAAAGUGAUUGUAUAGAUCAGUUUUUUUUCCGGCUCUUGAUGUUGUGGGUUCACUUCUUUGUGUUAGGUUCUCUUUAUUAUAGAGAGUUCAUGUUUUCGCUCUUGCUUUAGGUCGCUUAGGAGAAUGAGUUUGUGUUAGUUGUUUCCUGAACUCUCUUUGGUUGUUUAUGUUCUUUGACUAAACGUUUUCUUAGAAUAUAAACCAUAGUCACAUAUUCUUGUUGGAGGCUUCUCUUUUUAUUUAAAUUACUUCUUAUUAUUAUAAUUGAUUUGUAUCAGUUAUUUGUUCCUCUUGACUUGUUGUUGUUGGAUUCUCUCUUGUAUGCUCAUGUGUUCCGUUCAGACUUAUUUCGCUUUGCCAUUAUCUGAUUAAAAUUCUGGUUCUGGAAAACUUUGGGGACUCAUGAAAGGCAGAGUGUGUGUUGCUUUCUUUCUUCCCUUUGCUUGUGGAUUGAAGAGAUAGAGAUGUUACGAGACUAGUCCUGGAGUUGGAAGCAUAACUUCAUUGUUGUGACUGAUCAUCGCUCUCAUCUUUUUCACUAAUUACCAAAGUUUUUUGUGUUUCUCGUUCUCUCGUCUAUUCUUGAUUCUAUGUUAUUUGAUGUUUGGCUUUUCCAAUUACUAACCGCAAUUUCAAUUUUGACUUUUUAGGAGUUGCAAACAUUAUGGAAGAAAGAGGAGUCGAAGAAAACUUCCUCUGUUUUUCAUUUUGAUGGGCCUCAGAUAUAAGCUUGUUAUCUCUGUAUCAGAGUAGGAAAAUUGCAUCUCAUACCAUCAAAAACAUUCAGCUAAUUCAGUAUUGGGAACCUCAGUUGUUAAUGUCUAAACGGUCUGGUUUGUGGUAGCAUGCAUUGCCGAAGACUACAGUCCAGUUUCCCUACGAUGUAUCAUUUUUGCUUUCAUCAUCUCUAUAGGAACAAUCUAAGCUCUUCCAUUUUCCAGCAACAAUGAAUUUGGUGUACACUUCCCUCAUGUUAAAUAUUAUUACUUAUCCUAAUUUUGAUCUGCCCACUCCUUGUUAAUUACUCAUUGGAUCCUUGUUAGUUACUCGUUUAUUUUUGAUGUGAGACAUACAGAAAGCCUGAGAGGAUUUGGUUUGUGUGAAGGGAUCAAGAGCAGAUGGAGAUUCCAACCAGCUUCCAGGAAUUUCUGUAGUUGCAUCCUAUGAUACCUUCGGAGCAGCUCCGCUGAGGAGGAUAAGUCAUCUGAGCCUAGUCUUGAGUAUUGAUUGAGAACUGCAUCUCACUCCAGGAUCUGAAAGCAUCUAAACUUUCUGAAAAUGUUUUCAAUAUACUUCAACCUGAAGAAAUUCAUGGCAUUUGAAACUCGAGACCCUUUUCUCAUUCGCCAGGGAAGACCAGUGCAGGCCCGUAUAUUUGAGGGUAAAGAACCUCCACAACUUGUUGCACUUUUCAACAUAUGGUGGUCCUUAAGGGUGGUUUGAGCUCUGGUUACAAAAAUAGAAUGACAGAGAAAGGUUCAUCAGACGAAACCUACACGAUGGAAUCAAUUGCACUUAUUCAAGCAUCUGGAACUGGAGGUCACAAUAAUAAGGCACUACAAGUUGAAGCGUAUUUAGCACAACAGGAAAAAGUGUUGAUAAAGCUUCAGCUCUAAUACGUAGCUGGCCCAAUAAAUAUCCUUUAUUCCUAUCUGCGUGUUCUAUUUAUUUUAUUCAUAUUUUGGUCCUUCUGGUUGUUUUAGUUCUUAGCUAUCCAGUGUUGAUUUAUGUUGAUUUUAAUUUCUCUUCACCGAUCAUAUUUGCUGAUACAUGGGAUAUCACGUUUGCUAAAGAAAAACUCUUGCUUGGGUGUUUGCAAUUUACCCUUCUACUGCAGGAUCAGUCUAGCAGUGGGAACCAAGGACCAAGGAAAAGGGCUGCUGCUUUAGCUGCCUUGACUUCUGCAUUUAAUUCUUCUUCCGAGAAAACAAGCGCUCCGUUGAUGGCUGAAAAGAUAGGAUUGGUGGUUAACGUUGACUGUUUCAUAAAAGUCGAGAGAGAAGCAAAGUAAAGAUCAAAGAGAGCACAAAGAAAUGAGCCAUCUGGUAUUGGUACAUAAACAUUGCUCAAACUGCGAUUCAGAAACAGCCAACAGAUGAUCCUUUUGAAUGUAUGUGGUCACAGUUCAUGGUGAAGAAAGGGUGUGGACUUACUCCUCACCAGAGCAACUGUCAUGGAACUUGUGGUGAAAGAGAACUUCAACUUAGAAGAAAGAAGAAUUAGUCUCUCCGAAUUCCAUAUUGCUGAUGAGUUGAUAGCUGAAGAGAUAGGAUUGGUGGUUAACGUUGACUGUUUCAGAAAAGCCGAGAGAGAAGCAAAGUAUAGAUCAAAGAGUGCACAAAGAAAUGAGCAAGCUGGUAUUGGUACAUCAUUGCUCAAAACUGCAGUUCAGCAACAGCCAACAGAUGAAUGUAUGUGGUUACAGAGGUUCCAACAGAGAACUGCAUUGGGUUUCUGCUUAGUCUCAUGAGAUGGCUUUAUCAUCCCGCGGGCUUCAUCAUUUCCAUAGGUUAAGGUAUGUCAAAGAUGCAAAGGAUGGAUGCGUACCUCUUAGACGAUUGUCGGAAAAUCCAACAACCUCAUGGAAUCAAAAACAGCCUCAUGAUCGCUGGAUUUCUUAGUGUCGAUAUACAGUGAUCUCUGUCAGAUGGGAACACCACCAGCAGUCAUCAAUGCGGAUGAGCUUCAGCGAGAUUCCGAGGUUUUGUUUCUGUAAUAUGUAAAUUUUAACUAAGAUUUAUUUUUCUAUUACAUGUUAUGCCAUGCAUAUAUACAUGCAGACUACACUACUCGGUCUUUGUGAUGAUUUGAAACUUGUGACCCUUUUUUCAUUCGCCAUGUAAGUCGAGCUUUUCUAUAGAGUUUUCCUCCAAUUGGUAUUCAAUCCUUGGUUUAAUAGCUGGUGAAACUUAUUACUGCUGGAUACUUAUUUGGUUGCAACAUGAGCUGAAAUUCUUUACAUGAGUCACUUGGUUAACACAUUCAAAUAAGUUCCUUGAACCUUUUUUACUCAAUUAGUUUGUGUUCCUUUCACCUUUAUCACGUCUCUGAUGUUCAUUAUUGUUUCUUUUAACAGGUUUUCUAUUAAAUGAUCCAGGAACCCUCACAACCCCUUCUGUCUUAUAUUACAAGUGAUGGGUUUUAUUUUUUCAUCGCUCUAACCAAGAAAUCACGAUGUCCGUUGAUGAAAUUUUGCACCUUGGAGAUUGUAAUUCCGUUCACUUAAGGCCUUAAACAUUCUGGAGAGGAAUAUGGUAGACAAGCUAAAUACUGACCAGUGUUCUCCAUGAUCAGUUGAUGGCUGAAGAGAUUGGAUUGGUGGUUCGUUUAUUGUUUCAGCAAAGCGAAGAGAGAAACAAAGUAAAGAUCAUAGAGUGCCCUGUGCCAAGCCAAAUUUGUUCCAACGUUUCUCUCUAAUGUAAAAUUCGUUGAAGGGAAGACCAGUGCAGGUUAACUAUGAGAGACGUAAACCCAUCGCUAACAAUCAGACAUGCACACAUCUGUUGAAUUUUUCCCUGAAGCUGGUUGAUCCUGAAUGUUAGAGAAAUAUCGAUUAGGACAAUCUGGAUGUGUUUUUCAAGAAUGAAGGGUCUAAGAGCAGGGCUUGCUGAAUCCAAACGCUAAGAGAAUCAUAAGGGGAAGUAAACUUUUAAAUUCAUUCUCUUACUAUCCAUUUUUAGCUUGAGUUCUACUAAAUUGUACAGGUUUUUCUGUUUAAUGCUUAUUACUUAUGUUUUUUGUAAUAUAUUAUUGAUGUUUGCAUCGGAGAGAGGAAAGCAUUGGUCCUCUUAGGGUAUGGCUUUAGGGGUUCCUAUUUUCUUAAGCGUCAUUAUUUCCUAGGAUUAAGUUCUUAUGAGAUAGGUGUGUUUUCAUCAGUAUCUUAUUAUUUGUUUUUUGUCAGAUUCAAAUAGGUCCCGACUUCUUUACAUAAUAUUUUGUAUGUGAUCAAUACUUAUGCUUGUUACAACCAUGGAGAGUGAAAUCUCUGCCCUGUUCUAUUUCUCACUCUAUAUGUUUGUGCUUUCCUUUGUUUUCUUCUCUUCUAGAUUGUGUGUUUAUAAAUCGUUGAAGUUCCAAGAAAAACAUUUUAGAUUAAUCUUAUGUUUACAUCAAAAAAAUUGUUAGGUCAAAGGAAUUAUGUUAAUUAGGAUGUUCUCUGCUCCGACCUAUUUGUGUCUGAGAACCCGACUACGAUAAAACUCUCAUCGUUGUUUUUUCUCUAUUUACUCAGAAUGUAAAUUUCUAAACUAAUGAGUGAUUGAUGCAUGUUAGAAUUUUUUUCUUUCUAAAAAUUAUGUGUUCUUUCUUAAUUUGCAUUCCCUGUUCUAUGGUACUGAUUCCCAUGGAAUUGUUGUACAGUUUUGGAGAUGACAAUAGGCUGUUUAAGAAUAUACAGAGAGUAGUGUCUUACAAAUUCUGCCGACUAUCAAAUUUUCAGUUGAUGCAGCUAUCUUGACGAAGUAGGAGUGACAUGCUAUAUCACAACCGCUUCUAAUAUUGGUUAUACAGUUAUUUAUUUCUCUUUGUACACUGACUUCUUCUUGUUGGAGGCUUCGCUGACUCUUUUUGAUGUUUGUGAUGGUGGCUCUUUUUGUAUAGGUAUGUGGGAAAUGGGGAAGAUGAGGAUUUGACUUGCGGGAUAUAUAGCUUUGAUCUGUGUUUGUUCCCCGUUAUUGUUUUGAUGGUAUAUUAUUGCAUUAAGGUUAAGGUGUUUGCGUUCUCAUCGUAUAAUAUCAUAGAUUUUCUGUUUGUUAUUGAUCAUUUUGUCCUUCGUGGGUUCAUAUGUUUAAUUUUUAAAUUUCUUUUUCUCUCAAUUGUGUUUGAGAUUGCCUCUGGUUUUAUAUGAAUUUCUUGUCUAUGUAUAGGUCUGUGGAAUUUACAGUAGCAAGUCUUGUUCGGGUUGCAUCUAUAUGCUUUUUUUUUUGUUGUGAUUGGGUGCCUCGAGGAAUGUUUUCGGGCUAUACGAAACUGCUUCUUUCACAGGGGUUAAGUUUUCGUUGCUAGCAAAUUUUAUGAACUAGCUUUCUUUAUCACCGGCACAAAAAGUUCAGAGAAUUGCAAGAACACACGCCAGAGUAGAUUAUUUCGAACUAGUAAAAGGGCCAAAGUUUUGAUCACGUUGGAAAUUCUAUUCGUCACUUUUGAUUAUCUGUAUCUGAUCAACACUUCUUCAAGGGAUAGCAAGCUGGCCCAAUAAAUAUCCUUUCAUACCGGAUAUAAGGUGAUACCAAAGGUUCUCUUUAGUUUCUCGUUUGUAAUUUGUUGCAGCGAAGUCCUUAUUCUGUAACAUUGGCCUCUUUUGAAUUGUGGCCUACAUAUGGUUUUCAUUAGAUUUGACUUGGCUAUUUAUUUUAUUCGCCGUUGUUUCUCUGGUUUUUAAGCGAUUGUCUUUGGAUAAGUUUCAUUAGUUUGAUAUGUAAGCUGUUUUGGUUGAUUUCUGUGUUACAUCUCUUGGUCAUAGGGUGUCGAUGAUUCUAGAUACUUGUAGAUUUAAUGUUACAAAAUACUCUUUAAGAAUUUUUAACAUUUCUCAGUGUUCUUCAGCGAGAUAAUGUGAUGUUGAAGGUCUUUGUGAUUAGUUGGCCAAAGUAGUUGUAAAUCAGUUUCUUCUCCUCUUGAUUAUAUGGGUUCACUUCUUUGUGUUAGGUUAUCAUUAAUAUUUUGGCUCUUGCUUUAGGUUGCUUUGGAGGAUUGUUUUGCAAUAGUUGUUGUUUCCUGAACUCACUCUGGUUGUUUAGGUUCUUUGACUAAAUGUUUUAUUAGGGUCUAAGUCAUAGUCACAUAUUCUUGUUGGAGGCUUAUCUUUUUAUUUAAAUUACUACUCAUUAUUAUAAGUAUGUGGUAGACGCAAAAGAAGUUGCUUUCAGACUUGCUAGCCUUGAUUUCUUUCAGACUUGCUAACCUUUUUCGUCUACUUUCAAUCCAUAGAGCUUCUUUUUGCUAUGGAUGAUUAUGUCCUUCGUGAUUUCAUAGGUUUAAUUCUAGAUACCUCUUGGUUAUGUGUUACAUCUCUUGGUUAUAGCCUUAUAGGGUGUAAGAUCAUUCUGUCCUUCGUGGGUUCAUAGGUUUAAUUUUAAAAUUUCUUUUUCUCUCAGUUGUGUUUGAGAUUGCCUCUGGUUUUAUAGGAAUUUCUUAUUUUGUCUUUCCUUAUUUUCGAUUAUAUGAGGCUGCUUUUUUUGCAGGGUUUAAGUUGAUUUUGUUGGCAUAUAUUAUGAACUAGCUUUCUUUAUCACCCGUAUGUGGAGGACGCUGAAACAGUUCCUUUCAGAUUUUUUCGUCUUCAUGCUUUUAAUAAUCAUUGUUUCUAGUUAUUUCCUAGUGUUGUUGGCUUUCUCUGUUUAAUGCAAAAUACUUAGUUUAAGUUUUUUGAGGUUUCAAGAGAAAAGCAUUGGUCUCGUCGUCGUCGAGGAUGGCUUUAUAUGUUAGGCAUUUUUUAUUUCCGAAUCUUUAAUCAUACAUGCUUGUGAUGCUGGCUUCUCUUUUUUAUAUGGUUGACUUCCCCUUCAUUAUACGUAUGUUGAAGAUCCAGAGGGAUGCAACCUCCAUUGUGACCUUUUCGAGUCGAAGGAGGGCUUUGAUCUAUCCUUAUUCGUCCCUUUCCCUGUUUUAAGUCCUAUAUUAUUAUCUCUCGAUUUCGUGUGGAUCAAUAUGUUCUUUCUUAAUGGAUGGAUAAAUUAAAACGCAGGACAUUGAACAUCAUCGGAGAUCGUACAUUUCUGGCCAUAGGGAUCAUAGGGUAGUUAUAGAAGGCUGAGAAGGGACUUUAAUAUUGACUUGUUAGAUCAUUAUCUUCGUAUUCUACUUGUUUAAGGAUACAAAGUAACAUGACAUUAGUAUUUCUUGUUAGAUUAUUAUUUCAGGCAUUGCCUCUCAUGGAAAUGUGACACUGUUCCAAGAGUUGGUCAGACUUGUACGGUUUCAGCUAGAUCCACCUUAACAUUGGUCUGAUUCCUUUAUACUUUUGAGUAUAAGGAGUCAAAAAUUUGAUUUGAUCGAUCAUCUUUUCUUCUUGGUGUAA